rnacentral:rRNA from 1 species
AUGGUUAAGUUAGAAAGGGCGCACGGUGGAUGCCUUGGCACUAGGAGCCGAUGAAGGACGGGACGAACACCGAUAUGCUUCGGGGAGCUGUAAGCAAGCUUUGAUCCGGAGAUUUCCGAAUGGGGAAACCCACUGCUCGUAAUGGAGUAGUAUCCAUACUUGAAUACAUAGAGUAUGAGAAGGCAUACCCGGGGAACUGAAACAUCUAAGUACCCGGAGGAAGAGAAAGCAAAUGCGAUUCCCUGAGUAGCGGCGAGCGAAACGGGAACAGCCCAAACCAAGAGGCUUGCCUCUUGGGGUUGUAGGACACUCUAUACGGAGUUACAAAGGAACGAUAUAAGCGAAGAGGUCUGGAAAGGCCCGCCAAAGAAGGUAACAGCCCUGUAACUGAAAUGUUGUUCUCUCCAGAGUGGAUCCUGAGUACGGCGGAACACGUGAAAUUCCGUCGGAAUCCGGGAGGACCAUCUCCCAAGGCUAAAUACUCCCUAGUGACCGAUAGUGAACCAGUACCGUGAGGGAAAGGUGAAAAGCACCCCGGAAGGGGAGUGAAAUAGAUCCUGAAACCGUGUGCCUACAAGUAGUCAGAGCCCGUUAAAGGGUGAUGGCGUGCCUUUUGUAGAAUGAACCGGCGAGUUACGAUCCCGUGCAAGGUUAAGCAGAAGAUGCGGAGCCGCAGCGAAAGCGAGUCUGAAUAGGGCGCAUGAGUACGUGGUCGUAGACCCGAAACCAGGUGAUCUACCCAUGUCCAGGGUGAAGUUCAGGUAACACUGAAUGGAGGCCCGAACCCACGCACGUUGAAAAGUGCGGGGAUGAGGUGUGGGUAGGGGUGAAAUGCCAAUCGAACCUGGAGAUAGCUGGUUCUCUCCGAAAUAGCUUUAGGGCUAGCCUCAAGGUAAGAGUCUCGGAGGUAGAGCAC